AUUGAACGCUGGCGGCAGGCCUAACACAUGCAAGUCGAGCGCGAAAAUUCCUUCGGGGAUGAGUAGAGCGGCGGACGGGUGAGUAAUGCGCAGAAAUCUGCCCAGUAGUGGGGGACAACCUGGUGAAAACCAGGCUAAUACCGCAUACGCCCUACGGGGAAAGGCAGGGGAGUCUUCGGACCUUGCGCUAUUGGAUGAGUCUGCGUCGGAUUAGCUUGUUGGUGAGGUAAUGGCUCACCGAGGCGACGAUCCGUAGCUGGUCUGAGAGGAUGAUCAGCCACACUGGGACUGAGACACGGCCCAGACUCCUACGGGAGGCAGCAGUGGGGAAUAUUGGACAAUGGGCGAAAGCCUGAUCCAGCCAUGCCGCGUGUGUGAAGAAGGCUCUAGGGUUGUAAAGCACUUUCAGUGGGGAAGAAAGCUUGUUAGCUAAUAACUGACGAGUGUGACAUUACCCACAGAAG
rnacentral:rRNA from 1 species